AGUCCCCGCCCUCUCUCUGCUUUCUCAUAAAAUCUCUGCUGGACCAGCCACUCCUAGUGGGGAGCCCAGGGUGGUCUGGGAGUGCUGGAUGCACCCAGCUGCUGUAUCACCAGGACAUCAGGAGGUGGAGGAGGCAUCCCUGAGUCCUGAUGCCUGACUGGAUGGAGGCCCACCAGCUUCUGUUCCCAUGAGGUAGAAAGGCCAAGCUUGGUAUUCAGCUGGGGAAGAGGCCAGAAACGAGGCCCCCAGUGAAAUAACCCAGAUCCAUUGGCCUGAGGAGCAGAGAAAGAGCAAGAAGUGAACUGCAGCUGCUGGUAACCCUCAGAAACCUUCUCCAAUUGCUAUUCUCACAGUUCUUUCGGAACACUCUGAAGUGAAGAACAAUAUGUAGGAGAAUGGGACCAACUUAUGUGUGUUCUGAGACUCAAAACCCCUUUGUUGGCCCAAAGAAGCUCACCUUGAGUUUGGGAGGGCUGGUAAGUCCUUUCUCAUGGCCUCAGCCAAGCCUUGAACUUGCCCUCCCUUCUGG
rnacentral:sRNA from 1 species